rnacentral:lncRNA from 1 species
AUUUGGUUAGAUUUAUAGUUUAAUUCUAAUUGGAUUAUAAUUAAUGUUUAAAUUUGUUAGAGAUAAAUAAAGAUUUAAAUAUUAAUUAGAGUAUGAAUCUAACUAGAUUAGGUUAAAUAUAUAAAUUUAUUUGAGAUAAAUCAAUUAAGAUUUAAAUAUUUAUUGGAGUAAGAAUUUUAAAUAUAUAGGAUUGGGGUACGUUUUGGUGGAGCUUUAUAAAUACCGUACCGAGAGAGAGAGAAAGAGUUAGUCAUGUGUUGAGUGCACCUAGUGCACGGGUGCACGAGGAGAGUUUGUUUUCUUUGUUGGUUUAUAGAAGACGAGAGAAACGUAGGAGAAAUUCAAAAAGAGGGCUAAGGUUGUAACUACUCUGUUACAGAAGAGGAGUUAGCUGUAAUCUUCUCUUAUUUAAUAAAUCUUAUUUUACCAGCAUAUUUCCUAUUUGGUGUUUUCUCUCUUUUGUGAUUAUGUCAGCUUUUGCUGAGGAGACGGGUUUAUAUUAAAAACCUCAUUUGACGUGCCCGUUGCGGAAUCCCAACAAUCGGUAUCGAAUCCACAGCAGUCGGUAUCGCAGCGGGUUGCAGAUUCUCAAAAUUCGGUACCGGAGCGAGUACCGAAUUCCCAACAAUUGGUAUCAGAGCUUAAAGUUACCAAUUUGCGGGAGAGAUCGAUGGAGAUGGCCACAAAAUUCGAAAUUAAGAAGUUUGAUGGUAAAAAUAAUUUCGGAUUGUUGUAGAUUAAAGUACGGGCAAUCCUCGUACAGCAAGAGUUGCACGAGACGUUGAACGGAAAGGAGGCAAAGCCGGCGGAGGUCACGGAUGCAGCAUGGACGAAGAUGGAGCAAAAGGCGUUAAGUACACUUCAUCUAUCAUUAGC